rnacentral:rRNA from 1 species
AGUGAACGCUGGCGGCGUGCUUAACACAUGCAAGUCGAACGGAUGAAAUAAGCUUGCUUAUUUCGUUAGUGGCGCACGGGUGAGUAAUGUAUAGCUAACCUGCCCUUUAGUGGGGGACAACAGUUGGAAACGGCUGCUAAUACCCCAUACUCCUUCUUAUCAUAAGAUAAGUUGGGAAAGAUUUAUUGCUAAAGGAUGGGGCUUUAUGGUAUCAGCUAGUUGGUGGGGUAACGGCCUACCAAGGCUAUGACGCCUACCUGGUCUGAGAGGAUGAUCAGGCACACUGGAACUGAGACACGGUCCAGACUCCUACGGGAGGCAGCAGUGGGGAAUAUUGCACAAUGGAGGAAACUCUGAUGCAGCAACGCCGCGUGGAGGAUGACGCAUUUCGGUGUGUAAACUCCUUUUAUAAGGGAAGAUAAUGACGGUACCUUAUGAAUAAGCACCGGCUAACUCCGUGCCAGCAGCCGCGGUAA